GUGGGGAAUAUUGGACAAUGGGGGCAACCCUGAUCCAGCCAUGCCGCGUGUGUGAAGAAGGCCUUUUGGUUGUAAAGCACUUUAAGCGAGGAGGAGGCUCCUUUAGUUAAUACCUAAAGAGAGUGGACGUUACUCGCAGAAUAAGCACCGGCUAACUCUGUGCCAGCAGCCGCGGUAAUACAGAGGGUGCGAGCGUUAAUCGGAUUUACUGGGCGUAAAGCGUGCGUAGGCGGCUUUUUAAGUCGGAUGUGAAAUCCCUGAGCUUAACUUAGGAAUUGCAUUCGAUACUGGAAAGCUAGAGUAUGGGAGAGGAUGGUAGAAUUCCAGGUGUAGCGGUGAAAUGCGUAGAGAUCUGGAGGAAUACCGAUGGCGAAGGCAGCCAUCUGGCCUAAUACUGACGCUGAGGUACGAAAGCAUGGGGAGCAAACAGGAUUAGAAACCCCGGUAGUCC
rnacentral:rRNA from 1 species